UCAGUGGCAACACGUGUUUCAGGUGUCUAAGUGGAAAAAUCAAAUUCUAACGUAGUUUAUCUCAAAAACAAUCAAUUUUAAGCUUAGUUAUUUUAAUUAAUAAUAACAGGUGACGGAUUUAUCUGGUAAAACCGUACUCACACAAAUAAUUUUGCUUUUAAUUAGAAAUGUAAAUACUUUUGUUUUUUUUUAAACCCUGUUACACUCUGUCAAAGCUGUUUACGUGACAUUGGCGAAAUCAUGGUUCUCAAUACCAAGUCGUUGCCAUAAUAAAAGAAGAAGAAGAAUU